CAGUAAACGGUCUAGAUGGAUGGUAGAAGUCUUUAUGGGGAGUCUGGGGAGUUGUACCACCACCCACAGGCACACCCUCACCACAUGUGGGAUGCACACGGGCCACUAGAGCAGAUGUCAAGAUACAUGAGAAAUGGAUAUCAGGAACAGGAUCAAAGUUAUCAAGAAAGAGGUGACUGGAUGGGACAU